rnacentral:rRNA from 1 species
AACGAACGCUGGCGGCAGGCUUAACACAUGCAAGUCGAGGGGGAAGCCACUUUCGGGUGGUGGAGACCGGCGCACGGGUGAGUAACGCGUGGGCAUCUGCCCUGGGGUGGGGGAUAACCGCUGGAAACGGCGGCUAAUACCGCAUACGCCUUGAGAGGGAAAGAUUUAUCGCCCUGGGAUGAGCCCGCGUUGGAUUAGCUUGUUGGUGAGGUAAAGGCUCACCAAGGCGACGAUCCAUAGCUGGUCUGAGAGGAUGAUCAGCCACACUGGGACUGAGACACGGCCCAGACUCCUACGGGAGGCAGCAGUGGGGAAUAUUGGACAAUGGGGGCAACCCUGAUCCAGCCAUGCCGCGUGUGUGAAGAAGGCCUUAGGGUUGUAAAGCACUUUCACCGGUGAAGAUGAUGACGGUAGCCGGAGAAGAAGCCCCGGCUAACUCCGUG